CGGCCCAAUGCGCAUGCGUCAGGCCACGAGCCCAUUUCCACCCCGCCCCUCCGCCAUUCCCGAAGCCGCGCGGCACCGCCUCUAGAACGCAUGCGCCUUCCAUGAUCCGCGGCCUCUUCGCCACCUUCCACACCCAGUAUUUAGUCCCCUCCCUCUUUAAUCUCCCGUGAACGCGCGCGUACACAUUCCUGGGAACGCGCUUGCCAGUGGCCCCGCCCACCCCGAAAUCCCUGAAAAGGGGGCGGAGGUGGGGCGGGGAAAAGCGCGCCUGGGCGAGGCCGGAAAGAGAAGUAACCCGCAGGAAGGAAAGAAGCUGAGCUAGUGGGGACGUGACUGGGCAUGCGCCCGAGUUACCUGCCCGGCGCGGCCUUGCAAUGAAGCGUGGUUUACAGCUCCCAAGACGCACCAGCCACAGUCCUCCGAUUGGCAACCCCACGGGCUUCUGGGAGUUGUAGUUUUUCAGAGCCUUCGCUUCCUUGUCCUGAAAUGACCUAUCGCCCACUUCUCACCGCUCCUGGCCUGAGGGGCUCCGCGGCCUCCCGGGCGACUGGCCGAGUCACGGCUGGGUCUGGCCUCUAAGGCAGGGAACUGAAGGGCAGCCAUCGCGGAGCAGACAGUCGCUACGGCCCUGCCACUGCACAUAAUAGUGGAGCUCCAGGAGUGGGAAAAGAAGAAAAGCUGUCAUGCAAGCAUCCUUGAUAGAGGGGAUGCUGUUUAAAUUCAUCCAAGUCCAGACUUCCCUGGUGGCGCAGUGGUUAAGAAUCUGCCUGCCAAUGCAGGGGACACGGGUUCAAGCCCUGGUCCGGGUAGAUCCCACAUGCCGCGGAGCAACUAAGCCCGUGCGCCACAACUACUGAGCCUGCGCUCCAGAGCCCAUGAGCCACAACUACUGAAACCCGUGUGCCUAGAGCCCAUGCUCUGCAACAAGAGAAGCCACCACAAUGAGAAGCCUGCGCACCGCAACGAGAAGCCCACGCACCGCAAGGAGUAGCCCCCUGCUUGCUGCAAGUAGAGAAAGCCCACGCACAGCAAUGAAGACCCAACACAGCCAAAAAUAUAUAAAUAAAUUAAUUUUAAAAGAAAGAGUAAAGUAACUUAAAAAAAAAUUCAUCCAAGUCCACAUUUACCCAUAUACUAUCCCUUCUCCACAGAAUAUUGAAUAGCAUAUUUGAAGAGCAUUCCUUUACUUCUGUCUGGUACAUCUACUGCCCCACCACAAAAUUCACAUACGAUUCCAUCUGCCACCUUAUUCCAUCAAAGCUGUGGCUUUGACUCCUGCCACUUUCCUACAUGCUCAGCUUUGAGCUCCUGCACAUAAACUAGGACAAAAAAUUUGCUCCAUUAUUCUGCACACUGUUGCUCACACCCAUCUAGUCUGUCCUCUGUUGAAGACCUUUACUUUUUGCCCAGUUCUUGCUUUCCAUAGACCUCCUUGAACUUGACUAUCAAACUGUUUCUUGCUUCACACAUCUGACCUCACCCAGGACUUCCUUCACCUUUGCUCUGUGUCCCAUGGCUCCAGGGGGAAACCUAUCUUGAUGCAUUUAACGCUUUAGACUGAACUACUCAUUCCCUUUGCAAAUGCUAUUUCUUCUGCCUAGAACACUCUCCUUGUCAUUGUUUUCCCAGAGAAUAUGAGUAUAUGUAACCUCGUACCCCAACCAUGUUACUGCCCAUUCUGAGCUAACUCUAUGAUAUACCUUGAAAUUACUUCUGGUGGUUACCACACUACAUAAAAAGUAUUUGUUUACAUGUCUGCUUCUCCACUGUACUUGGUUUUCUUGACAUCGGGACCUUUGUCAUUUCCGAUCCCCAAUUCCUUGCAUAGUGCUUAGAACAAAAUAGGCCUUCAUUCAUUUACUCAUUCUUUUUUUUAAAACUAUUUUUAAAAAUUAAUUAGAUUGCGCCAGGUCUUAGUUGCAGCAGGCGGGCUCCUUAGUUGUGGCAUGCAAACUCAUAGUUGAAGCAUGCAUGUGGGGUCUAGUUCCCUGACCAGGGAUGGAAGCUGGGUCCCCUGUAUCAGGAGGGCGGAGUCUCUAACAACUUCGCCAUGGGGGAAGUGCCCAUUUACUCAUUCUUAAGGCAAACAUUGAGUUGAGGACCUAUUGUAUUCCUCCUCUCACGGAGCAUAGAGGACUUCACUGGAAGCUGUGGAAGCAGCAAGAGCUGUUUUUUAUGUAAAUCAACUUGCAUUACAACUUGACUUGCUCACCUUUCUUUUCAUUUUGUGAUCAAUCAUUGCUCUUCAAAACAGCCCUGAUGGAGUCUUAAUUUGAAUUCUGUGGUUUUUGUUUUUUUUUUUUCUUUGCAGUACGCGGGCCUCUCACUGUUGUGGCCUCUCUCGUUGCGGAGCACAGGCUCUGGACGCGCAGGCUCAGCGGCCAUGGCUCACGGGCCUAGCCGCUCCGCGGCAUGUGGGAUCCUCCCCGACCGGGGCACGAACCCACGUCCCCUGCAUCAGCAGGCGGACCCUCAACCACUGCGCCACCAGGGAAGCCCAGAAUUCUGUGGGUUUUGAUUCCUGUGUUUGCUUUGACUCUUUCCUUUCUUUAAAAAACAUUCCAAAUGGUCAGUGACAGGCAUUUUCCUGUGUACCUGAAGAUAGUGAUUCAGUCAUUUUUA
rnacentral:lncRNA from 1 species